rnacentral:rRNA from 1 species
UGUAAGUAAUCAAAGUGAUUAUUAAGGAUGCCUAGCAAACAUUUAUUAAAGGACGACUUAAAUGUUAGAAUGUCGAAAAGCUAUAGAUAAUGGAUAUAAUCCCGAUGAGAUUAUAUCGGCGAGUUUUAGUUAUGAUAUAAAAUUAUAACACCUCGUUUCUUGAGGCGAUCCUAAGGUAAACCGUAAAGUAUAAACACAGUGAACUGAAACAUCUAAGUAACUGUAGGAAAGGAAAUCAACCGAGACUCCAUAAGUAGUGGUGAGCGAAAGUGGAAAUUAGCCAUAAUUUAUUAAUAUUAGAAUCGUUUGGAAAAAGGAAUCCGUAGUAAGGUGAAAGCCCUGUAUAUAUUAAUAGAUUAAUACAAUUGAAAUAGGUAGAAGAUAAUCUGCUUGUAUUGAAAAAGUAAAAAUUUUUGUUUAUAUAAAAAAAUUAGAGUUAUAAAAAUAGUUCUAAUUUUUUGUUUCGAUUUAUUAAAUUUAUUUAGUAAAACUACAUUAGUCUAGAACUAAGUGGAAGAAAUCUAUUUAAUUAUUAAAAAUAAUUAAUAGUAUAUAAUCAGGGGAACCAUCCUCUAAGGCUAAGUAUAAAUGUUUAGCGAUAGUGAAAAGUAACGUGAGUGAAAGGUGAAAGAGGCCGUUGUUGACUGAGGGGUGAAAAUAGACCUGAAUUAGUAAUCAUAUAAGCAAUUAGAGCUAGAUUUUAUGCCGAUACUAGGCUUAAAUUAGUAAUAAUGUACCUUUUGUAUAAUGGGUGGAAUAAGCGAGCCCACAAUAAUUUAUUAUUAUUGAAUAAACUGACUCAAGGCAAAUGUGCCGGUAUAGAGUAGUAAUAAUACUUUAUGCUAACGGUAGAUACCUAUAUAAGGCAAUACCGUGAAUUAUAUAAAAAUUUUUUUUAUAAUUUGUAACGACUCUUCCUAUUAGUAACGGAAGAAUUUAUGACAGGAUCAUAAAUUAAAAGGUCAGCAGCUUAAUACUCAUUCUUCUUUGACAUAAGAAAUGAGUUAAGAAUUGAGAAAUUUUAAGCUGAUGGUAUAGUCUGAACUAAUAUGAAAAUAUUAGAAUAACAUUUUGUAGCGAGUUGAUAAUAGUAGCAAGGUUAUAAACCCUAGCGAAAGCAACUAACAUAAUAUGUGGUAUAGUUACUAUUAUCAGACCCGAAACGCAGUGAUUUAUCCAUGACCAGAUUAGUAAUUAGAUCGAAUGGUUCAAUGUUGCAGUAUUGUCCAAUGAGUUGUGGAUUGUAGGUGAAAGGCCAAUCUGACUGCGAGAUUGCUGGUACUCCUCGAAACAUAUUUUAGUAUGACUUUUUGUUUAUAUUUAUGCAGGUACAGCACUGAUUAUCACACAGAAUUUCUAUUUUUAGGAAUAAUGUACAAUUGGGGGGUCGUUGAGACUUUAUCAUUGGUAAUUAACCUCGGAACAACAUAAAUUAAAUACAAAAAUUUCAGACUAUUCAUGAUAAGGUGGAUAGUCGAGACGGAAACAGCCGUGAACAUAGAAUAAGGUCCCAAAGUAAUGAUUAAGUGAAAAUAAGGAAGUGGUGAUUUGAAAACAACUAUAUAGUUAGCUUGGCAGUUGCUAUCUUUUAAUGAAAGUGUAACAACUUAGUAGUCUAGUGAAUCAUCGCACCGAAGAUAAACGGGUCUUAGAUCAUUCACCGAAACUAUGUCUAUAUUCUUUUUAUUUAUUGAAAAUUCUUUUCUCGUAAGAGUGAGAACAAUAAACAUAUAUAGGAAGAAUGAAGGGUAGAGGAGCAUUCAGUAUGGUAGAAGAAUAGUGUUACAUUAUUUGGACAUUACUGAAGAGAUUAUGCUAACAUGAGUAACGUAGAAAGAAGAUAUAAUACUUCUCGCCGAAUGCGAAAGGGUUGUUAAGCUAUGUUAGACAGCUUGAUAAAUAAAACGGUCUCUAAGACUAUGCGCAAGUCAUUGUUAAUAGUUGAUGAGUAUAAAUUAGAAAGUCUUUGACCAAGAAAAUAUAUCAGACAAUAGCUUUAUAAUAGUAUUUCCUAACAUAUUAAUAGGUCGUGUUAUACGUUAUAUUAGGAUAUUAAAUUUACUUUAUGUAAAUCUAAUAAAGACAAAUAGUGAACUUAUUACUAUUAUUUAAAGUGUUUUUGCAUUUACCGUACCCUAAACUGACACAAGUUCGUAGGUAGAGAAUACUAAGGCGUAGAGAUAAUACUGUUCAAGGAACUCGGCAAAAUGCGUCCGUACACUAGAUAAUAAGGACUACCCCAUUAUAAAAAUAAAUAGUAAAAUAGCAUAAACUUGAUUAUGUCAAAUAGACAGGCUUAAAGUCUAUCAUAGGAGAUGAUUAUGGCCAGAUCGAUGUGGAGCUUUUGUAUGUUGGAAUUAAUAUUUCAUAGAAUAAUAUAUUAUUUAUCAAAAUAAUAUACUAUUGCCUAACCUAAGGUUGAGAAAUUAAUGGAUCAAUAUAUACUAUGAACACAAUAUAAUAGGGUGACAGAAAAUCGUGAAGCACAACUGUUUACCAAAAACACAGGUAUCUGCUAUGUUUAAUGACAUUGUAUAGGUACUGAAUCUUGUCCGAUGUCAUGGGUAUAAUACAGGUACUAAAUAUGGAUAUUUGUAGAAACUCUGAUCAAUGACAGUCUUAACUAUAAGGAUUUUAAGAGUAGCGAAAUUCCUUGGCCAUUAAAUGUGGUCCCGCAUGAAUAGAGUAAUGAUGCUUCAGCUGUCUCAAACAGUAUCUCAGUGAAAUUGAAUUAGCCGUGAAGAUGCGGUUUAGGUGUGGGCAGACGGGAAGACCCUAUGCAGCUUUACUAUAGCUAGUCAGGGCCGAUUAAAAAUGGAUGACAGACAAAAGGUACAUGAAUUUACAAUAAAUAGUUUCAAUGAAAAAUUUUUGAUACAAAUGGAUAUAUCCAUAUAUGUAUCAGGAUCUAACUUUAAUAUAAAGUUUAGUUUAAAUUAUAUUUAUGUGAAAUUUAGGGCGAUGAAAGACCAUUAGAAGUUUUUAUGAGGUUACAUUCCCAUUUAGUGACAGGGAUUGAUGACUAGGUGGUAGUUUAACUGGGACGGUUUCCUCCAAUAGAGUAUCGGAGGACUUCAAAGGUAUGUUUGUGUGAGAUGGAAACUCAUUUGUCAUAUAUGACGAAAUAAAACGUAAAGGUAUAUACAUACUUAACUGCUAGACUGAUAAGUCAAACAGAUACGUAAGUAGGACUUAAUGAUCCGGUGAUCCUUUAUGGAAAGGUCAUCGCUUAAGAAAUAAAAGUUACGCUAGGGAUAACAGGGUAAUAGCUCUAGAGAGUUCAUAUUGUCAGAGCUGUUUGCCACCUCGAUGUCGACUCAUCUUCUCCUCCCGGUGCACAAUCUGGGAAGGGUUCUGCUGUUCGCAGAUUAAAAAGGUACGUGAGUUGGGUUCAAUACGACGCGAGUCAGUAUGGUUCCUAUCUUCCACACCAAAGAAUAAUCAAAUUUAGAUGGAUUUUUAGUACGAAAGGACCAGAAUCUGCGUUUCUAUGGUGUACCAAUUGUUGAUUUGACUAACUAUAUUAUACCCUAGUGUAGGGCAAGUAUAGUCUAUAUAUGUCUAUAAUCGGCAUCGUUGGGUAGCUACAAACGUUAAGGAUAAAAGCUGAAAGCAUAUAAGCUAUUGAAGCCUACUAAAGGAGAUUUACCACUAUAUAAGUGGAUUAUGUUAGAGAUAGACUAUCUCUUUAAUAGGUCACGAGUGUACGCAUUGUAAAGUGUUUAGCUUAGUGAUACUAAUAACUGAAACUUACAUU